AAAGCAAGAUUGUGUGUAUCGACGCAGUGCUCAAAUCAAUGCACUUUUAGUCGAAAGAUCUUCUUGCGAUACCAAUUUUUGGGGAAGAUGGGUAGUUGUGUUUCACUGUUGAGUUGAUAUUUCAACAAUCAUUUUCCUCACAUAU